GUUGCGGAAGGUGAUGGGGCUUCUUUCUCUCAGGUGGAAGGAUUGCAGAUUUGGGGUCGCCAAUUGGGGCUUCGACUCUCGUCGUCGGUUUAGAUGAUCAGAGCUUUCUAUCCAGGUUUAUGAAAAGGCGCUGAAGUCGUGCGCAUGUACAAAACAUUAUUGGGAAGUCAAGGGUUCCGAAAGUUGGGAAGCUGGACAAAUAUUGGCGACGAAAUUGAUGCUUAGCCAAGUUGUUAAUUUCUAAAAAGGUUGUCCGUUGGUUCUUGGUCCACAAUUUGUGCAUGGUAUUAAAUGCAGGUUUGCCUGCUCUUCGAAUGGCUGCACUAUAUGCGCAUGUUGGUAGUUUGUGUUUACUACCUGAAUUGGGGGCAUCUGUGAUUAAAGAGUUUCUUGAAUCUAGAAGACAAUGGCUCAUACCAAGCAAACCGUUCGCAAGUCUACAGGUGGAAAAGCUCCCAGAAAGCAACUGGCUUACAAGGUACGUACUGUUGUAACCUUAUUGUUUUUGAUCAAAUGUGUAUCCCACUUAUAUAGUUAAUGAUAUACCACACCUGACAAUGCAUUGAGCGGGUUUUUCAUCCCGCCGCAACGCGCGGCAAAAUGGAUCAAGAACGAAACUAGAUACAUACUUGGGUGGCCGUAAAAAUUUGAAGACUUGGGUGAUCUCCCUGUACAUCAUCCUUAAUAAUUUAAAAAAUGGUUAAUAUUUAUCGGUAUGCUGUAUGGCCCGUAACAGUACCAUGGUGGGACUAACUUUGGCCAUACUAUCGGAGGUCCGUUUAUUGCGACAAGUUAUGAUUACGAUGCUCCACUUGAUGAGUAUGGAGUGCCUCGACAACCGAAGUGGGGCCACUUAAAAGAUUUACAUAAGGCCAUCAAGCUUUGUGAAGACACAUUGGUAGCAACCGACCCAACAACUACUUCUCUUGGUCAAAAUUUAGAGUGUAGGAUUGUUAAGGGGGCCGUGUCCGCGAGGUCGAACCCGGCUUAAACCUGAAUAUGGCACAGACCUGAAAAAACAAUCAAAUUCUGGAAGCCUGGUGCAUCUGGCUGCACCGAAACAAUAAGGUUUUCAAUCGGAAAAAUAGUUCGGUCAACAUGGUGGCGGAAGAAAUUAAAGUUAGCACUUUUUGGUGGAUGACAAGAAGGGCCAAAAGAGCUGGCCUCACUUUGGAUAGCUAUUUACAUGAUUGAGCAGGAUGCUUUACCAACAAUUCCAAAAUGUAGAAGCAUUUGCACGUAUCGAAAAAGAGCCAAGGCUUUCAUUUGAUGUGUUCUUUUUGUUAUGAAGAUGCCACUCAUAGUAAAAAAAAAUUACUUAUACAGGUUGAUUAUUGCUGGGCUGAUUGAACUUCCAGUAGAUCAUGUGGAAAAGAAACUGUCAUAGAUGAUAUUGGACAACAACAUAGAACACUAGAUCAUGAUAUUGACUUAUAUAUGUUUUUUAUAUCGUUUUAAGGUUUGAAUUAUGCUACUGUCCCUUAUUAUCGACUCCGCAG